UAGCUCAGUGGUAGAGUGCUUGCCUUGCAUGCAUGAGGCCCUGGGUUCCAUUCCUUG
rnacentral:tRNA from 1 species